UGCAUAGAAUUCGUGAUAAACAAGGAGUUUGCAGCGAUUGCAUGUGAAUUUCUUUCUUUGUGAAUUGCUUGGUUAUCUUUUCGUCAAAAUAUUCUGCUAAACUCUGAAAAAAAACUUAAAGAUAACUCUACUAUCCAGCUAAUGUCCAAAGCGUACCUAUCUGAUGAAUAUGAUGAAGACAAAAAGACUGAAUUAUCGUUCUUGCUGUUGCCGCACAUAUUAAUACCACCACCGUAACGAGGUUUAAAAGCUCCAAGAGUCGGGAGGGAUGUUGUAUCUAAUCUGAUGUUUGUAGAUAUGAAUGAG